rnacentral:rRNA from 1 species
GACGAACGCUGGCGGCGUGCUUAACACAUGCAAGUCGAACGGGUCUGCCUUGUUUUUUGCGGGGUGGGUCAGUGGCGAACGGGUGAGUAACACGUGAGUAACCUGCCCCUCACUUCUGGAUAACCGCUUGAAAGGGUGGCUAAUACGGGGUGUUCUGGCUGUGCCGCAUGGUGUGGCUGGGAAAGAUUCACUUUUGUGGUGUUUUGGUGGGGGAUGGGCUCGCGGCCUAUCAGCUUGUUGGUGGGGUGAUGGCCUGCCAAGGCUUUGACGGGUAGCCGGCCUGAGAGGGUGGGCGGUCACACUGGGACUGAGAUACGGCCCAGACUCCUGCGGGAGGCAGCAGUGGGGGGUAUUGCACAAUGGGCGGAAGCCUGAUGCAGCGACGUCGCGUGAGGGAUGGAGGCCUUCGGGUUGUGAACCUCUUUCGCCCGGUGAAGAAGGUCCUGUUUCUUUGUGGUGGGGCUGACGGAAGCCCGGGUAA